rnacentral:rRNA from 1 species
AAUCUUCCACAAUGGACGAAAGUCAGCUGGAGCCACUCCGCGUGAGUGAAGAAGGUUUUCGGAUCGUAAAACUCUGUUGUUGGAGAAGAACGUAUUUUAUAGUUACUGAUAAGGCAGUGACGGUAUCGAACCAGAAAGCCACGGCUCACUACGUGCCAGCGGCCGCGGUAAUACGUAGGUGGCAAGCGUUGUCCGGAUUUAUUGGGCGUAAAGCGAGCGCAGGGGGUUUCUUAAGUCUGAUGUGAAAGCCUUCGGCUCAACCGAGGAAGUGCAUCGGAAACUGGGAAACUUGAGUGCAGAAGAGGACAGUGGAACUCCAUGUGUAGCGGUGAAAUGCGUAGAUAUAUGGAAGAACACCAGUGGCGAAGGCGGCUGUCUGGUCUGUAACUGACGCUGGGGCUCGAAAGCAUGGGUAGCAAACA